AACGAACGCUGGCGGCAGGCCUAAAACACGCAAGUCGAACGCCCCGCAAGGGGAGUGGCGCACGGGUGAGUAACGCGUGGGAACGUGCCCCUUAGUACGGGACAACGUCGGGAAACUAACGCUAAUACUGUAUAAUAUCUCCGGAUCAGAGAUUUAUCGCUGAGGGAGCGGCCCGCGUCUGAUUAGCUAGUUGGUGAGGUAAAGGCUCACCAAGGCUACGAUAAGUAGCAGGUCUAAGAGGAUGAUCUGCCACACUGGGACUGAGACACGGCCCAGACUCCUAGGGGAGGCAGCAGUUAGGAAUAUUGGACAAUGGGGGAAACCCUGAUCCAGCCAUGCCGCGUGUGUGAUGAAGGCCCUAGGGUUGUAAAGCACUUUCGUUGGGGAUGAUAAUGACCGUACCCAAAGAAGAAGCCACGGCUAAAUUCGUGCCAGCCGCCGCCGUAA
rnacentral:rRNA from 1 species